rnacentral:tRNA from 1 species
GUUUUUGGUGCAAAUAAUGUGCUUGGCUGCUAAACAAAAGUCUGGAGGUUCGAAUCCACCCAGAGAUA